UAAAACUAUUCGAAUAGUCGUGCCCGCGGUUAUGGGCGAGUUGAGCAAUGUUUUUCGUGAUUAGUCUCACACCUCUCACAAUAAUUAUAGAUGUUAUACCCGUGCCCGCGGUUAUGGGCGAGUUGAGCAAUGUUUUUCGUGAUUAGUUUCACACCUCUCACAAUAAUUAUAGAUGUUAUACCUGGUAAUAAUUUGCUUAGCUCCUGGUUUGGAGUUAGAUCUGUUCAGCCGGGUAUGGUUGUUCAGAAUGGUUGGGCCUGUGCAGCAUGGGUGUGCUGUUCAGUGUUGAUUAAAAUUUCUGAUUAAUUACUCCACUGUUUUACUUCUCUUAAAUGUUUUGCUAAAUGCUGCUUUUGCAAAUGAGCC
rnacentral:lncRNA from 1 species